rnacentral:rRNA from 1 species
GAUGAACGCUAGCGCUAGGCUUAACACAUGCAAGUCGAGGGGCAGCACAAGGUAGCUUGCUAUCUGGGUGGCGACCGGCGCACGGGUGCGUAACGCGUAUGCAACUUGCCCUAUACAGGAGGAUAACCCGUCGAAAGACGGACUAAUACUGCGUAUGCUCACAACUUGGCAUCAAGUGGUGAGGAAAGAAAUUCGGUAUAGGAUAGGCAUGCGUCCCAUUAGCUUGUUGGUGAGGUAACGGCUCACCAAGGCAACGAUGGGUAGGGGAACUGAGAGGUUUAUCCCCCACACUGGUACUGAGACACGGACCAGACUCCUACGGGAGGCAGCAGUGAGGAAUAUUGGUCAAUGGGCGCGAGCCUGAACCAGCCAAGUCGCGUGAAGGAUGACUGUCUUAUGGAUUGUAAACUUCUUUUAUACGGGAAUAACAAGAGUCACGUGUGACUCCCUGCAUGUACCGGAUGAAUAAGCAUCGGCUAACUCCGUG